rnacentral:tRNA from 1 species
GGGAGCGUGGCGGAAUCGGUAGACGCACCAGACUUAAAAUCUGUUGAGAAUUAUCUCGUGGGGGUUCAAGUCCCCCCGCUCCUA